GCCAGCAUGGCAUGGUGGUUUGAGCAUUGGACUAGGACUCGGGAGACCUGGGUUCAAAUCCCAGGUGGGAUGGUA